AACACGUAUAUAAUUUAUAUGCAAACAGCACACGACUCGGUGAGCCCGACUCGACUCGCGCACACGAGUAGACACAUCGUUUCCUCAACACCCUGUUUGCUACCAUGCUUUAC
ensembl:ncRNA ZK867.10 ncRNA